CCCACCCUAGGAUGCUCACCCCCUCUGCCAGGACAUGUACUGCCAUGGUGGGGCAGUGCUGCAGUGGGGGUCGUGCCUGACUUGUGACAGGUUUUCCUUGUCUCUGAAAGUGGCCUAAAAAAUUAGCUGCUGAUCGGUUUUAAAUGGAAGGGGAGAUAGUCACAUAAAAUAUAGAUUUACAACUUUCUUCUGAAGAUCAUGCAGCCCAGACACCUCACUGUCUGCUCCAAGACUGUGCUGUACUCCCUGCUGGUCCUUCUCACCCAGCCCAGUAAAGCUCUUAGGAGGGCUGUGUCACCUCAGCGCGGGCGCCCCAGGCCAGGGGAUGUGUCCUGCUGCUCUGUAACCAGAGUGAGAAACUUAAAAUUGCUCAGAGUUAUUACAAAUCACUGUAAAGCCCUGAAUUUCAAUCCCACCCACCACUCUAGGCAGUGUGGGCCUAAAGAGGAAAUAAAAGGGCUGCCUCUUAAUCCUUGUAACUCUCAAAAGUUGGUUUAACAGUAGUGCAUACCUCAGGGUUGUUUAAAAGGCAUUAAGAUUAAGGAUCAGGCCCUGGUACAGGCAGAGUUAGCAGAGAGCACCCUUUUUUUUUCUGGGUUUAAGAAAAAAAAUCAACUAUUUUGUGUGACAGAAGAAACCAACACAAGGUCCAAGGGUGAGGAACAGACCAGGAGGCACAGCACAAUAACAUCUGUCACCAGUAAAGGACAGUGUCCUAAGGGCCUACUGCAGAUCAGACAGGAGGGCCACGCAGGCAGUGACACAGCCCCAGACCAGGCAGGAAGUUAUUCAGAGGUGUCCAUCAGCAUCUCACCACUAGGACAGAGCACAGAGAAAAACCACUUGAAGAGGGAGUGCUUGACCUGGCUCCUGUUCCCAGGAGCCUUCCGUGGGCACCGAUCUGCAAGGCCUGGCAGAGGGGCCAGGCAGCCAGCUGCUCCCCACAGUGUCUCGGGCAUGGAGAGAGGAAGAGAGGUGCGGCCUGGGACGGGACACGGCCUCCAGGUCCCCAGGUCCUCCUUCCACCAACCUCACGAACCCAGCCGUGGGUUCCCCCAGGCACAAGAACCUGGUGCUGGGGAGAUUUGGGACAGCGAGACCAACUGAAACAUAAGUGCUGGGGUCAUUUGCGGGAGAUGGACAAUGUCUGGAAAAUCCUGACCUUUAACCCAGCUGUCAGUCUAGAAGGUCCUUUGACCUUUGACCCACCACUUCCUUCCUGAGCAUCUGUUCUGAGAAACAUCUAGUGAAGAUGGGAGAGGUGGCAUGGAUGAGGGUGUUUCCUGGGUCAUUAAUGAAAAAUAAAAACGAAUAAAGUAAUUGUCAGUCCGGAGGGGACUCAUGUGAGAACUAAGGGGUCUCAUGAUUCAGCUGUGGCGGGUGGUGCAGGCCUGUAAUCCCAGCACUCUGGGAGGCCGGGGCAGGAGGAUGGCAAUUUCUAGCCUAGCCUGGGCAACCUAGCAACUUAGUGAGAUUCUGGCUCAAAAGAAAAACUAAAGAGGACUGUCAGUGU
rnacentral:lncRNA from 1 species